rnacentral:rRNA from 1 species
CGCAGCCGCGGUAAUUCCAGCUCCAAUAGCGUAUAUUAAAGUUGUUGCAGUUAAAAAGCUCGUAGUUGAAUUUCGGGAUCAGUUGGUCGGUCGUGCCUCGGUACGUACUGGUCAAAUUGAUUCCUACCUUCUGACGAACCACGAUGUCAUUAAUUUGGUGUCGUGGGGAAUCAGGACUGUUACUUUGAAAAAAUUAGAGUGUUUAAAGCAGGCUCGCGCUUGAAUACAUUAGCAUGGAAUAAUGAAAUAGGACGUUUGAUUCUAUUUUGUUGGUUUCUAGGAUCGACGUAAUGAUUAAUAGGGAUAGUUGGGGCAUUAGUAUUCAAUUGUCAGAGGUGAAAUUCUUGGAUUUAUUGAAGACUAACUACUGCGAAAGCAUUUUGCCAAGGAUGUUUUCAUUAAUCAAGAACGAAAGUUAGGGGAUCGAAGACGAUCAGAUACCGUCGUAGUCUUAACCAUAAACUAAUGCCGAACUAGGGAUCGGAUGAUGUU